AACGUAGGACACAAGCGUUAUCCGGAGUUACUGGGCGUAAAGGGCGUGUAGGCGGACGUGUAAGUCUAUUCUGAAAGCUCCUGGCUAAACUGGGAGAGGCGAAUGGAGACUGCAUAUCUAGAGUGAGGAAGAGGAAAGUGGAAUUCCGCGUGUAGUGGUGAAAUGCGUAGAGAUCGGCAGGAACACCCGUGGCGCAAGCGGCCACCUAGCCCGUUGCUGACGCUGAGGCGCGACAGCGUGGGGAGCAAACAGG
rnacentral:rRNA from 1 species